AGGUAGUUUGGUUUACGAGAUCUACUGGAAUAUCCUUGAAGUAAAUUUCAAAAUAAAUUUAUACUUAAAUUGAUGGACGAUAUAAAUGAUUUAAGGUGUUGGUGCUAUUUUAUUCCACCUUUGAGGCAAGUAAAUUAAUUCCAAAAUAAACUAUAAUUUGGGAUAACUUUGUCAAAGGAGCCAUAAGGCUAAAAGUGUCAAUCCCAAGGAACUUAGAAAAAUGAAAAAAAAGUUGAAUUUUUGGCGUGAGGCCCAAGAAUAUUAUUGGUGAGGAAUACUAUAUAUAUAUAUAUAUAUAUAUAUAGAAGUGUGAUGGAGAGUACGACCACUGGCAAAACAUAUAUUUAUACCAAACAUACAAGUGUAAAAUUGUAAUUAUGAUUUGAUAGUCCUCGUAAAAAUUUGGCAAAAGAUUUUUUAUGUUCAUUCUAAAUGCUUUACUUCACUCUAGAAGUAUCUUCUCUCCACUCUAUCACUCUCCUCCGUUAAAAUCUCAUUUCAAUCAGAAAGUAUCAUUAUCUCCUUACUCCUCCAUGGCUAAAUCCUCGAGGGGAUAUACUCAACCAAUCGAAUUCAAAAACAAAUCACUACUACUCAAAACCAAACAACCAACCCUGAUUAAUUUUUACUCCGAUUGAAUCAAACCCUUCAAACGAAUCUCGAAUCACCCAUUUUUAUAAAGUUCUUUGUUUUUUUAAAAAAAAUAAGGGGAUUGAAACUACAUUAAAGAGUUAGUUUGAUCAAGAUGGAAGAGUGUGUAAUUGACUGGAAAUUACGUCGGAGAAAUUGCAAGUGGGUAAAUAUUAGAGUUCCUUCAAUUUUGAUGCUCUGUUUCAGAUCUCUUUGAUGUAUAACAUGUUGCUUCUUUGAUGAAAAUGUUUGUCCUUCCAUAUAUUCAAAAGAUACUUAUUUAUUCAAAUUUUUAUUUAGCUGUAAGAAAAUUGAAUUAAACAAGAAGUAAUUUGUAGCUAGGCUGAA